GACGAUGCAAAUUUUCUUGAAAUGUAGCUGUUUACUGCGCAUUGUUGAGGCCUCAUCAUCACAGUCAUGUAUGAUAGUGAUAUUCAAUGAGAUCCAAUCUAUUAGUUAGUCGUUAAGUGAUCAGAAAUGGCUUAGGAAAUAAGUCAGACUUUUAACUCGAAAAUUCUUAUGACCUAUGAAGAUUACCUUAUCCGUUUUGCCUUUUAUCGUUGAACACAACAUCACGAAUGUGCUCAGUUACACAAGAAAUGUCCAGCACGCUAUUUGAAUUGUAAUUUCCACUUUUGUGUUCAUUUUACAGCAUACAAGGUGACCUUCUUUGUCUGCGAGCAAUCAGCAAGAAAAGGACACAGAAAAGUUCAUUUUCAUUGGUUUAAUUUUGAAUCCUAAUUAUAUUUGUUGUUGCGUCUCGUUACUGCUCGGGCAUCUUUCGUCUUUUCGUCUACACAAAACCAUCUUUACAAUUUCAAUUUCUUUCUUAAAUUCCCAUCGAUUUGUAUUCAUCUCUAAAAGUGAUUAUCUUCCAGUUACGUGCAAAAAAUGCAUGUGUAACGUGAUGUUCUUAAAAUACAAUACUGAUUUAAUUCUAAUCAGCCACAUUUGAUUGCCCAAAAUUCCACGAACAAAACUUGUUAUUUACUUGGAAAAGCGGGUUUUACUUGUUUAAACAGCUCAGCUGUCAUAAAUUUUUUCUAGUAAUUUUAAGGUCUCUCCAGACUUCAAAUUGGUACUUCAAGGAUAUUUUAAAAUUUGAAUCCUUUAAUUCUCUUUCCAAGAAGAUGCAGAUGUUCCACACUCCUCACUACAGUCUGCGUUCCUGGUCUUGUCCGACAGAGAUGUAAAGUAUGUUAAUAACUAGAGCAAAAUAGUUUCAGGAAAAUCGCGAAAAAGGCGAAUUUUGCAAACACCAGUGCGGGCUGAGUUUUUUACGACAUAAUAAAAAAUGGCUGACGAUUUUGAAUAGGUAAAAGGUAUAAGGCAGUUGGCACUCGAGCCAGUUCAAAGUCCUUCUCAGAAGCACUGGUUAGUGAUUAUAAGUUUAGUGUCGUGGAUGGGGAAUCCUUCAGUUUUCGCCUGGGAGGCGCUACAUGUUGCUAGAACGCUAGAAGCUGCGGAGCGUCAUUUUCAUAGCGGGUUGAUCCACGAACUCAGGGAGAAAUUUGAGGAAAACUUAAAGGUGAACAGAAAGUCCAAUGAAACUCAACUGAGCUUCAAGCAGUAAAAGGUACUCAGAUGAAAAGCCAAGUACUUCUGUCUGGCACAAUCAGGUACUUAGCUGAAGACUUCCCAAGAUCAAGAAUAAACAGAUAUCCGGACGAGCAGCAGAUGAGAUAUUGUGCCGUGAAGGCAUUAUGAGCUUACACGUGAUCGAAUGCAUGGAGCGAAGAAACAACCGCAUGGAAAAAAAAAAUCGGCCACAGAGAUAAGUCGUGUACUUUUUUCAUUAUUGUGUCUCACGUUAUUGCGUAAUGAUAAUGUCUUCUUAUUCUUUAAACGACCACAAUGAUUAUAUAAUACACCCUUUUUAGCGAACGAAUUUAUUUUUGUCUCUUGCACGCUUUCGCUGGUUAUGAGACAGUUCGCGUUAGAAAGGAGAUCCCAAUAGACUUAAGAUGGUGAUUUUGGUGUGUUUGAAAAUCCAUAGAGAUAUCUUAAGUCUGAAACGGUGAUAGCAGGGAAUAGAUUUCAAGCUGGUCUUACUGUGAAACGUACGUUCAAUUUCGUGCAAACGACCGAGAACCGAGAAAAAUUAUGAAAAAAAAUUUAAUGCUGGCAUUUUUAUCGAAAAAGGUAAUUUGCACUUGUAUUCAUUUGCUCGGAAACCAUUAUUCAUCCACUAUAUAUAUAUAUAUAUAUUAAUUGAAAGCAAUGAUUGCGUUGCAAACCGAAUUGAUGAAUACGAGAGUAUGGUAAAUUUAGCUGUGCAUUGGUUUAUCAAGACUAUCAAGGUCGCAUUCAGUAUCAACAAUGUUAUUAAUAAAAGUCAGUGGUUUUAACAUCACAAAAAUACUCAAUACAAUCUAAGUCAUACUAGCAGAAUCCAUAGAUGUUGUUAUUGUAGUACCAUGCUGAAUGCUCCUCAAAAUUUGAGCUCAGAUGCCGCCGAAAUUUCAAAAUAUUUUGAAAAUUGUUUGCACUCCUUUGGGUGCAAAAAAUUGACAUAUAUGUAGAUAUUUGUUUCGUUUUCUUUCAUUCUAAGAGAAAAGUUUUUCCUGUUAGAAAUUCAAACUUUAAAUAAAUUAACCAUAUUUUCACAUUCUGCACUCAGGCAUUUUAUCGAAACUACGGAGUGUUUGCGAUACUGAAGCGUAAAGUUGAACUCCCGAAUUUAUGCCAACUCACCAUCGACACAAGAGCAAUGAUCAUACUUCCAAGAUCAUGGUACCGAAUGAUGUUAUGGAAAAACUGUGAGAAAUUUCCGGCCAACACACGAUGACAGGCAAUCCUCACCCCUAGAAACUAUACCCUUUCUCAAGGAAAGGAAGGAAGAAAAAUCCAAGGAGCCAUAUUGAUAAAGUUCCUUCUAGUCCCUGAGGAAACAGAUGGCCCUUCCUCUCUGAAAGUUGAAAGAUACAAAUUCCGAUGAACAAUCACUAACAAUCGAUUGCCUAUCUAUUCCGUCAUUUAGCCUUCUUGUAGUGCAUAAACGCACGUGUGAUUGAAAUAGAUUAAUUGAAACUGAAA